CCUGAGAAACCCAAAAGAUCGAAUGAGGAGAUUCAUCGUCAGCUCAUUUUGUAUAUAUAUUAGUUAUGAUAUGGGUUACUACUUGUAGUAUUGCCUGUACAUUCUUUUAUAUUUAAUUGCAAGAUGUUGUCGGCGUGCACUUCUCCUCUAGUAGGACAUCGUGACCCGUUGAAUGUCGGUCUACGGCCCAAAUGGUAGACUUUAAUUUUUUUUAAUUAAAAAAUUAAAGACCUUUGGUGUUUUUCUGACUGGCUAUUUGGCGGUAUUCGUAUGGUAUUAAGGCCGCAUAUUAUUAAUGUGCGUUCAUGUCCGUCACAAGCGGGGUCAAUUCUUUAGUAGUAUGGACCUAGUGCCGUCGCUAUAACUUGAUCAGCUGUUAGUUGAUAC
rnacentral:rRNA from 1 species